AUUGAACGCUGGCGGCAGGCCUAACACAUGCAAGUCGAACGAGUGGCGGACGGGUGAGUAAUGUCUGGGAAACUGCCCGAUGGAGGGGGAUAACUACUGGAAACGGUAGCUAAUACCGCAUACCAUCGGAUGUGCCCAGAUGGGAUUAGCUUGUAGGUGAGGUAACGGAUCACCUAGGCGACGAUCCCUAGCUGGUCUGAGAGGAUGACCAGCCCCACUGGAACUGAGCCACGGUCCAGACUCCUACGGGAGGCAGCAGUGGGGAAUAUUGCACAAUGGGCGCAAGCCUGAUGCAGCCAUGCCGCGUGUAUGAAGAAGGCCUUCGGGUUGUAAAGUACUUUCAGCGGGGAGGCGUUACCAACAGAAUAAGCACCGGCUAACUUCGUGCCAGCCGCCGCGGUAAUAC
rnacentral:rRNA from 1 species